CACAGGGGCUGCACACCCAAAUAAAUGCCUCUUGGCUACCCAUUCAUCUAACAGCUGGAAAGAUGACACUUGACAUUUGGAAACUUUCCUGUGAAGAUUGCUGCAAGGCUUUCCCAUUAGCUUCCUGGGAUUCAAACAACUGUUUUUAAUGAACCAUGAAAAUGAAAAGUUAAUUAAAUAGACAAGUUAACAGUAUAUUCAAAGCAUACUGACUUAACCAAUUCAAAGUAUACAUCACAGGUCACAUGAAAAGACACCUUUAUCAUUUGUUCCCCAUCUCAUAACAGAUCAUCACUACCAUCUGUUGACAGUUAUUUGAGUUGCAAAAAAGUCAAUAAUGUACCAACUGUAAAAGUCCGGAGGUCUUCAUGGAUAUUUGGAGAUAUAUACCCAGAACUCAGGAGAGAGAGCUCUGUACUUUGGGAUAAGAUAUAGUUAUUCAAGUUCAACAAAAACAUAAAUCCAGCAAAUGUUGUUUAAUGCCACUGCUCUACCUCUUGAAUGUAAUCUUUGAUUUGAUGGAAAACUACUGAUUUCUCCACUGUCUCCUUGUAAGAAUGCAUAUGAUAGUAACCACUAGUGAAACCUGGAAAAUAAAGAUAAGGGAAGGCUCUGAACAGAGCUAUUCACUGGGGAAACAAACCUAUUCCUAUGCAGUUAUUAGGGGAGGAAGGAGGCCAGAAAGGAAUGUGAAGGACCAUUUUUUCCUUGAUUUCCCUAAUGUACAUGGGUAGUGUAUGUGAAAUACAGGAAGAAAUAUACACAAGUAAAUUCUGGAAUAAAAUACAUAAAUAAAUUCUGAAA